rnacentral:tRNA from 1 species
GGCGGCGGCGGCAAGGGCAUGCGCGUCGCCUUCACCGACGCCGAGGUCAUCGAGGGCUUCACCCGCGCGCGUUCCGAGGCCGCGUCCUCCUUCG